rnacentral:misc_RNA from 1 species
CUGGAAACGCGCCCCCGGCGCACCCAGAAACCCCUUGUGAACUCAUACCUGCUGUUGCUUCGGCGCGGCCGGCCUCGCAGAGAGGCCCCCUAGCGAUGGGGAGCAGCCCGCCGGAGGUCAUACAAACUCUUGUUUCUUGGUGUGUCUCUGAGCAAAAAAUCAUAAUGAAUUCA